AUACGUAGGGGGCGAGCGUUGUCCGGAAUGAUUGGGCGUAAAGGGCGCGUAGGCGGCCCGGUAAGUCUGGAGUGAAAGUCCUGUUUUUAAGAUGGGAAUUGCUUUGGAUACUGUCGGGCUUGAGUGCAGGAGAGGUAAGUGGAAGUCCCAGUGUAGCGGUGAAAUGCGUAGAGAUUGGGAGGAACACCAGUGGCGAAGGCGACUUACUGGACUGUAACUGACGCUGAGGCGCGAAAGUGUGGGGAGCAAACAGGAUUAGAUACCCUGGUAGUCCACACUGUAAACGAUGAAUGCUAGGUGUAGGGGGUAUCGACCCCUUCUGUGCCGCAGUCAACACAAUAAGCAUUCCGCCUGGGGAGUACGGCCGCAAGGUUGAAACUCAAAUGAAUUGGCGGGG
rnacentral:rRNA from 1 species